rnacentral:lncRNA from 1 species
GUUUCAAAUGAGACAAUGCCACACAGCGAAGAAUCGGUGUUCCACUAGAACUCGGGACAGAAACCCAUCUGGUCGAACUACACACAUCUACGCAUGGGUCGGCCUCACUGUCCGUCCAAUCUGUCCUUCCAUCCAACCAAUACACAGCGCCAGAUACCGUCCAGAGCACACAGCAUCCAAAAGAAAAUGGUACAGUUACCGUUACCGAUCUAGAGCUGGAGGAACUUCAGAGGUCACCUGGUCCCACUCCUUCACUGCACAGAUGGGAAAACUCAGGCCCAGAGGAGGUGGAACUUGCUGAAUUUAAACAAAAG